CCUACGGUGGGCAGCAGUCGAGAAUCAUUCACAAUGGGGGAAACCCUGAUGGUGCGACGCCGCGUGGGGGAAUGAAGGUCUUCGGAUUGUAAACCCCUGUCAUGUGGGAGCAAAUUAAAAAGAUAGUACCACAAGAGGAAGAGACGGCUAACUCUGUGCCAGCAGCCGCGGUAAUACAGAGGUCUCAAGCGUUGUUCGGAAUCACUGGGCGUAAGGCGUGCGUAGGCUGUUUCGUAAGUCGUGUGUGAAAGGCGCGGGCACAACCCGCGGAGGGCAAAGUAUACUGGAAGCGAAGAGUAAUGGAGGGGGAACCGGAAUUCUCGGGGUAGCAGUGAAAUGCGUAGAUAUCGAGAGGAACACUCGUGGCGAAGGCGGGUUCCUGGACAUUAACUGACGCUGAGGCACGAAGGCCAGGGGAGCGAAAGGGAUUAGAUACCCCAGUAGUC
rnacentral:rRNA from 1 species